rnacentral:pre_miRNA from 1 species
AAAAAGACAAACACUGGAUUUCCAUGUCAAACGUUUGACUGUCCGUCUUAUAUAAUUUUUUUUAUAAUUAGUAUUUUCAUUGUUAUUAGAUGAUAAAACAUGAUUAAUACUUUAUGCAUGACUUGUCUUUUAAUUUUUUUUAAAUAAGACGGACGGUCAAACGUUGGACAUGGNNNNN